UUGACCUCGGAUCAGGUAGGAACCGUCU
rnacentral:rRNA from 1 species